rnacentral:rRNA from 1 species
AGAGUUUGAUCAUGGCUCAGAAUGAACGUUGGCGACGUGGAUUAGGCAUGCAAGUCGAGCGAUAACCUCCUUCGGGAGGGGAAAGCGGCGAAAGGGACAGUAUAAAGUAGAUACAUGCCCAGGGGUCCGGGAUAGCUGCGGGAAACUGCAGGUAAUACCGGAUAACAUCUCCGGAUCAAAGGUGUGAUUCCGCCCUUGGAUUGGUCUUCUCCCUAUUAGCUAGUUGGUGAGGUAAUGGCUCACCAAGGCGAUGAUGGGUAGCGGGUGUGAGAGCACGACCCGCGUCACUGGGACUGAGACACUGCCCAGACACCUACGGGUGGCUGCAGUCGAGGAUCUUCGGCAAUGGGCGCAAGCCUGACCGAGCGACGUCGCGUGAGGGAUGAAGGCCUUCGGGUUGUAAACCUCUGUCAGAGCGGAGGAAAUGCAUUGGGGUUCUCCCCAGUGUUUGACCUAUGCUCAGAGGAAGUACGGGCUAAGUUCGUGCCAGCAGCCGCGGUAAGACGAACCGUACGAACGUUAUUCGGAAUCACUGGGCUUAAAGGGUGCGUAGGCGGUGCGGCAAGUCGGGUGUGAAAUACCUCAGCUUAACUGAGGAACUGCAUUCGAUACUGCCGUGCUAGAGGAAGAUAGAGGUAAGCGGAACUUAGGGUGGAGCGGUGAAAUGCGUUGAUAUCCUAAGGAACACCGGUGGCGAAAGCGGCUUACUGGAUCUUUUCUGACGCUGAGGCACGAAAGCUAGGGUAGCGAACGGGAUUAGAUACCCCAGUAGUCC